rnacentral:rRNA from 1 species
CAGCUAGCUCAAUUACCCAAUAACUAAACAAUGUAAAUAAAACAAAAUAAGCCUAACACCAAAAAUUAAAUCAUUCUUUUACCUUAGUAUGGGCGACAGAAAAGGUUACACCCGGAGCAAUAGAAAAAGUACCGCAAGGGAAAGCUGAAAGAGAAAUGAAAUAACUUAUAUAAGCACCAAAAAGCAAAGAUUAAAUCUUGUACCUUUCGCAUCAUGAUUUAGCCAGUAUAUCCAAGCAAAGAGACCUUUAGUUUGAAACCCCGAAACCAAGUGAGCUACCCCGAGACAGCCUAUUAAGGGCCAACCCGUCUCUGUGGCAAAAGAGUGGGAAGAGCUCCGGGUAGAGGUGACAGACCUACCGAACUUGGUGAUAGCUGGUUGCCUAAGAAGUGAAUAGAAGUUCAGCCUCGUACUCCCUAAAUCAAAAGAUAUAAAAAGAUUUUAGAGGGAAAUAUAUGAGAGUUAGUUAAAGGGGGUACAGCCCCUUUAACAAAGGACACAACCUUUCCAGGAGGAUAAAGAUCAUAAUACAUAAGACAUCCUGUUCUAGUGGGCCUAAAGGCAGCCAUCUAAACAGAAAGCGUUAAAGCUCAGACAGAAAUAAGUUUAUUAUUCCGACAAAAAAUCUUACUCCCCUAAAUAUUAUUAGGCCAGCCCAUGCCCACAUGGGAGAGACUAUGCUAAAAUGAGUAACAAGAAGGCCAGCCCUUCUCCAAGCACAAGUGUAAGCCAAACCGGACCAACCAUUGGCAAUUAACGAACUCAAUCCGAGAGAGUAAUGUGUAUUACAACAAAACCAGGAAGAACCCACAAUUAAUCCAUCGUUACCCCCACACUGGCGUGCUAUUAAAGGAAAGACUAAAAGAAGGGAAAGGAACUCGGCAAACACAAGCCUCGCCUGUUUACCAAAAACAUCGCCUCCUGCAACACAACCAAGUAUAGGAGGUCCAGCCUGCCCAGUGACUACAAGUUCAACGGCCGCGGUAUUUUGACCGUGCAAAGGUAGCGCAAUCACUUGUCUCUUAAAUGGAGACCUGUAUGAAUGGCUAAACGAGGGCUUAACUGUCUCCCCCCUCCAGUCAGUGAAAUUGAUCU